UACGGAGGGUGCGAGCGUUGUCCGGAAUCACUGGGCGUAAAGGGCGCGUAGGCGGCCGUGUAAGUCACUUGUGAAAUCCCGGGGCUCAACUCCGGGGCUGCAGGUGAGACCGCAUGGCUAGAGCUUGGUAGAGGCGAGUGGAAUUCCCGGUGUAGCGGUGGAAUGCGUAGAUAUCGGGAAGAACACCGGUGGCGAAGGCGGCUCGCUGGGCCAAUGCUGACGCUGAGGCGCGAAAGCGUGGGGAGCAAACAGG
rnacentral:rRNA from 1 species